rnacentral:lncRNA from 1 species
UUUAAUUUCUGUUUUAUUAAUUUUCCCAUAAAUCUACAGACAUACAUUUCAGAGGAUAUAUAUCAAGUAGAUUGUAUCCCCACAAAGAAGCAAUAAAGCGAUUGUUUAUUCUGACAUGCUUCACCAUGAAGAGUUCACACAUUGGAAGGAGCAUUAAAGGAAAAAGAGAUGUGUCCCUCCAUUUUCAUUUGAACUUAUACAUCCUUGAAAACAGAAAAAUGAGGUGCAAUGACAAGAAAAGAAGAGUGGUGUCAUCAGCUUAAGAACAGAGCAAACAAGAAAGGGGUAAAAGGGAAUUCUUCUGAAACUCUUUCAUUGAAACAAGAGUGACCAGAGAGCAGCCUAGCUGAGACUGACAGCUUUGAUUAAAGGGAC